rnacentral:lncRNA from 1 species
UUUUUGCAGAGAUAGUGCAUAGCUUUAUCUGGUUUGGUGGUUGCUUUUUUCUUUCCAUUGGCCUUUUUUGUUGGCUUUUCUUUUUUUCUUUCUGUUACAAAUGCUAAAUUAAACAUGAUAAAGGCAAACCCUCAGGCAUCUACGACAAAAUGCAAAUUUCCUGCUGCUUAUCUACAGCACCACGAAGCUCUUUGUUGGGAUCUUCUCACUCUGUAGAGGGUACAGAAUAUUUGAUCCUCUUUCCAUUGAUGUCAAUGGGGUUUUAACUUAAUAGAGAAUGGAGACAGGACCAUAAAAACCUUGUUUGAUCAAGUUUUUUUCUGGGCAAAUCAUAGUACAGUGUGAUGGGAUUUGUCUGCCCACAGAAUACCCAUAGGCAUUCAGGGAUGUGUGAAGGAGCCCUCUGCAAGCCCAAUGCAGCUGUUAGGAACAGAACUUCAAGACAGGUCAGAUCUAGAUCCAGAUAUCUGUUUUCAACAUCAUGUUUUCAUAGGUCAUGAUGGCAGCUGAUCUAAAACCUAUGGAGAAGCACUGUAGGACCAUGGAGGAGAAAGUCAAUACCCAAUGUGUUGACAGUUGGUCCUCCAUUGUGCCAGCUUGCUCGGAGUGCAGCAGUAUGGGGAUUGUGGCAACAAAGCCAAUAUAACUAGCAAG